AAUCCAUAGGUUAAUGAGGCGAACCGGGGGAACUGAAACAUCUAAGUACCCCGAGGAAAAGAAAUCAACCGAGAUUCCCCCAGUAGCGGCGAGCGAACGGGGAGGAGCCCAGAGCCUGAAUCAGCAUGUGUGUUAGUGGAAGCGUCUGGAAAGGCGCGCGAUACAGGGUGACAGCCCCGUACACAAAAGCGCAUGUGCUGUGAGCUCGAUGAGUAGGGCGGGACACGUGGUAUCCUGUCUGAAUAUGGGGGGACCAUCCUCCAAGGCUAAAUACUCCUGACUGACCGAUAGUGAACCAGUACCGUGAGGGAAAGGCGAAAAGAACCCCGGCGAGGGGAGUGAAAAAGAACCUGAAACCGUGUACGUACAAGCAGUGGGAGCACCCUUUGGGGUGUGACUGCGUACCUUUUGUAUAAUGGGUCAGCGACUUAUAUUCUGUAGCAAGGUUAACCGUAUAGGGGAGCCGGAGGGAAACCGAGUCUUAACCGGGCGUUAAGUUGCAGGGUAUAGACCCGAAACCCGGUGAUCUAGCCAUGGGCAGGUUGAAGGUUGGGUAACACUAACUGGAGGACCGAACCGACUAAUGUUGAAAAAUUAGCGGAUGACCUGUGGCUGGGGGUGAAAGGCCAAUCAAACCGGGAGAUAGCUGGUUCUCCCCGAAAGCU
rnacentral:rRNA from 2 species